rnacentral:lncRNA from 1 species
AUGGUGCUGUUUUGGGCUCUGAUUUGGGCUCCGUUUUGGGCUCCAUGUGGGGCUGAACGGUGCUGUUUUGGGCUCCGUUUUGGGCGCUGUUUGGGGCUCUGUUUGGGGCUCCGUUUUGGGCUCUGUUGGGGCUCCACUUUGGGCUCUGUUUGGGGCUCUGUUGGGGCUUCAUUUGGGGCUCUGUUGGGGCUCCAUUUGGGGCUCCAUUUGGGGCUCCAUUUGGGGCUCCAUUUUGGGCUCCAUUUGGGGCUCUGUUGGGGCUCCAUUUGGGGCUCCAUUUGGGCUCUGUUGGGGCUCUGUUGGGGCUCUGUUUGGGCUCCAUUUGGGGCGCUGUUUGGGGCUCGGUUUGGGGCUCGGUUUGGGCUCCAUUUUGGGCUCCAUUUGGGGCUCUGUUGGGGCUCUGUUUUGGGCUCCAUUUGGGGCUCUGUUUUGGGCUCCCUUUUGGGCUCUGUUGGGGCUCUGUUGGGGCUCCGUUUUGGGCUCCAUUUUGGGCUCCAUUUGGGGCUCUGUUGGGGCUCCAUUUGGGGCUCUGUUGGGGCUCCAUUUGGGGCUCCAUUUGGGGCUCCAUUUUGGGCUCCAUUUGGGGCGCUGUUUGGGGCUCGGUUUGGGCUCCAUUUGGGGCUCCAUUUGGGGCUCGGUUUGGGGCUCGGUUUGGGCUCCGUGUGUCUGAAGGCGCGGUUGUGCCCAGCUGCAGGCGCUGCACCGUGCGCAGCUCCCCGCGCCGCCCGCCCUGCAGCAGCAGCACCAGGAGCUGCGGCAGCGCCUGCAGGCCCUGCGCUCACAGCUGCAGCACGGCGGCCCCGCAUGGCGCGCAGGUGGGACCCGGCCCCGCACCCGCCCUCAGGGCCCGAUCCGUCCCCGUUGGUCCCAUUGGGUCCCCAUUGGGUCCCCGUUGGGUCCCCCUUGUGUCCCCAUUGCGUCCCCUUUGUGUCCCCCUUGUGUCCCCAUUGGAUCCCAUUGGGUCCCCGUUGGGUCCCCAUUGGGUCCCAUUGGGUCCCCCUUGUGUCCCUCUUGUCUCCCCAUUGUGUCCCCGUUGGGUCCCCAUUGGAUCCCAUUGGGUCCCCGUUGAGUCCCAUUGGGUCCCCAUUGUGUCCCCAUUGUGUCCCCAUUGUGUCCCCAUUGUGUCCCCUGCCCCCAUAUUUUCCCCAUUGUGUCCCCAUUGGGUUCCCUGCUCCCCAUUGGGUUCCCUGUCCCCC